UACGUAGGGGGCGAGCGUUGUCCGGAAUCAUUGGGCGUAAAGCGCGUGUAGGCGGCCCGGUAAGUCCGCUGUGAAACCUCCAGGCUCAACCUGGAGACGCCACCCGAUACUGCUGUGACUCGAGUCCGGUAGGGGAGCGUGGAAUUCCUGGUGUAGCGGUGAAAUGCGCAGAUAUCAGGAGGAACACCGGUGGCGAAGGCGGGUCUCUGGGCCGAUACUGACGCUGAGGAGCGAAAGCGUGGGGAGCGAACAGG
rnacentral:rRNA from 1 species